rnacentral:rRNA from 1 species
CACGUAGGGGGCAAGCGUUGUCCGGAUUUAUUGGGCGUAAAGAGCUCGUAGGUGGUUCGGUAAGUCAGGUGUGAAACCUCCAGGCUCAACCUGGAGACGCCACUUGAUACUGCCGUGACUGGAGUCCGGUAGGGGAGCGUGGAAUUCCUGGUGUAGCGGUGAAAUGCGCAGAUAUCAGGAGGAACACCAGCGGCGAAGGCGGCGCUCUGGGCCGGUACUGACACUGAGGAGCGAAAGCGUGGGUAGCAAACAGG